GCGGGCGUGGCGGAAUUGGUAGACGCACUAGAUUUAGGUUCUAGCGGUGAAAGCUGUGGGGGUUCAAGUCCCUCCGCCCGCACCA
rnacentral:tRNA from 1 species